UGACCUACGGGAGGCAGCAGUGGGGAAUCUUGCGCAAUGGGCGAAAGCCUGACGCAGCGACGCCGCGUGAGUGAUGAAGGCCUUCGGGUUGUAAAGCUCUGUGGAGGGGGACGAAUAAGGGUUGGCUAAUAUCCAGCUCGAUGACGGUACCCCUUUAGCAAGCACCGGCUAACUCUGUGCCAGCAGCCGCGGUAAGACAGCGGGUGCAAACGUUGUUCGGAAUUACUGGGCGUAAAGCGCGGGUAGGCUGCUCGGAAAGUCGGAUGUGAAAGCCCUGAGCUCAACUUAGGAAGUGCAUUCGAAACUUCCGAGCUGGAGUGCUGGAGAGGAAGGCGGAAUUCUCGGUGUAGAGGUGAAAUUCGUAGAUAUCGAGAGGAACACCGGUGGCGAAGGCGGCCUUCUGGACAGCGACUGACGCUGAGACGCGAAAGCGUGGGGAGCAAACAGGAUUAGAUACCCCUGUAGUC
rnacentral:rRNA from 1 species